rnacentral:rRNA from 1 species
CGCCUUAUACUCCUACGGGAGGCAGCAGUGGGGAAUUUUGGACAAUGGGGGCAACCCUGAUGCAGCGACGCCGCGUGAGGGAUGAAGGCCUUCGGGUUGUAAACCUCUUUCAGUAGGGAAGAAGUCGGCCUUCGGGUUGGUGACGGUACCUGCAGAAGAAGCGCCGGCUAACUACGUGCCAGCAGCCGCGGUAAUACGUAGGGCGCAAGCGUUAUCCGGAAUUAUUGGGCGUAAAGAGCUCGUAGGCGGUUUGUCGCGUCUGCCGUGAAAGUCCGGGGCUUAACCCCGGAUCUGCGGUGGGUACGGGCAGACUAGAGUGCAGUAGGGGAGACUAGAAUUCCUGGUGUAGCGGUGAAAUGCGCAGAUAUCAGGAGGAACACCGAUGGCGGAGGCAGGUCUCUGGGCUGUAACUGACGCUGAGGAGCGAAAGCAUGGGGAGCGAACAGGAUUAGAAACCCGUGUAGUCCACGUACCA